GACGAACGCUGGCGGCGUGCUUAACACAUGCAAGUCGAGCGGAAAGGCCACUUCGGUGGUACUCGAGCGGCGAACGGGUGAGUAACACGUGAGUAAUCUGCCCCUCACUUUGGGAUAGCCACCGGAAACGGUGAUUAAUACCGGAUAUGACCAUAUGUCGCAUGGCGUGUGUUGGAAAGUUUUUCGGUGAGGGAUGUGCUCGCGGCCUAUCAGCUUGAUGGUGAGGUAAUGGCUCACCAUGGCUUCGACGGGUAGCCGGCCUGGGAGGGUGACCGGUCACACUGGGACUGAGAGACGGCCCAGACGCCUACGGGAGGCAGCAGUGGGGAACAUUGGACAAUGGGCGGACGCCUGAGCCAGCAACGCCGCGUGAGGGAUGACGGCUUUCGGGUUGUAAACCUCUUUCAGUACCGACGAAGAGCAAGUGACGGUAGGUACAGAAGAAGCAACGGCCAACUACGUG
rnacentral:rRNA from 1 species